UACAGAGGAUGCAAGCGUUAUCCGGAAUGAUUGGGCGUAAAGCGUCUGUAGGUGGCUUUUUAAGUCCGCCGUCAAAUCCCAGGGCUCAACUCUGGACAGGCGGUGGAAACUACCAAGCUGGAGUACGGUAGGGGCAGAGGGAAUUUCCGGUGUAGCAGUGAAAUGCGUAGAUUUCGAGAAGAACGCUCGCAGCGAAAGCGAAACUCUGGACAGCGUCUGACGCUGAGGCACGAAGGCUAGGGGAGCAAACGGG
rnacentral:rRNA from 1 species